rnacentral:tRNA from 1 species
GACCAGGUGGUGGAAUGUCAGACACGCGACGCUCAGAACGUUGUGCCUGAAGGCGUGGCAGUUCGAUUCUCUUUCCGGUUA